rnacentral:rRNA from 1 species
ACUCCUACGGGAUGCAGCAGUGGGGAAUAUUGCACAAUGGGCGAAAGCCUGAUGCAGCAACGCCGCGUGAGGGAUGACGGCCUUCGGGUUGUAAACCUCUUUUAGUACAGAAGAAGCAGUGACGGUAUGUGCAGAAAAAGCACCGGCUAACUACGUGCCAGCAGCCGCGGUAAUACGUAGGGUGCAAGCGUUGUCCGGAAUUAUUGGGCGUAAAGAGCUCGUAGGCGGUUUGUCGCGUCUGCUGUGAAAUCCGGAGGCUCAACCUCCGGCCUGCAGUGGGUACGGGCAGACUAGAGUGCGGUAGGGGAGAUUGGAAUUCCUGGUGUAGCGGUGGAAUGCGCAGAUAUCAGGAGGAACACCGAUGGCGAAGGCAGAUCUCUGGGCCGUAACUGACGCUGAGGAGCGAAAGCAUGGGGAGCGAACAGGAUUAGAUACCCUGGUAGUCCAUGCCGUAAACGUUGGGAACUAGAUGUAGGGGCCAUUCCACGGUUUCUGUGUCGCAGCUAACGCAUUAAGUUCCCCGCCUGGGGAGUACGGCCGCAAGGCUAAAACUCAAAGGAAUUGACGGGGGCCCGCACAAGCGGCGGAGCAUGCGGAUUAAUUCGAUGCAACGCGAAGAACCUUACCAAGGCUUGACAUGAACGAGAACGGGCCAGAAAUGGUCAACUCUUUGGACUCGUUUACAGGUGGUGCAUGGUUGUCGUCAGCUCGUGUCGUGAGAUGUUGGGUUAAGUCCCGCAACGAGCGCAACCCUCGUUCUAUGUUGCCAGCACGUUAUGGUGGGAACUCAUAGGAGACUGCCGGGGUCAACUCGGA